AUUGAACGCUGGCGGCAGGCCUAACACAUGCAAGUCGAGCGGCAGCGGGAAAGUAGCUUGCUACUUUUGCCGGCGAGCGGCGGACGGGUGAGUAAUGCCUGGGGAUCUGCCCAGUCGAGGGGGAUAACUACUGGAAACGGUAGCUAAUACCGCAUACGCCCUACGGGGGAAAGCAGGGGACAUUCGGGCCUUGCGCGAUUGGAUGAACCCAGGUGGGAUUAGCUAGUUGGUGAGGUAAUGGCUCACCAAGGCGACGAUCCCUAGCUGGUCUGGGAGGGUGAUCAGCAGCACGGGAACGAGAACACGGUCCAGACUCCUACGGGGGGCAGCAGUGGGGAAUGUUGCACAAUGGGGGAAACCCUGAUGCAGCCAUGCCGCGUGUGUGAAGGAGGCCUUCGGGUUGUAAAGCACUUUCAGCGAGGAGGAAAGGUUGGUAGCUAAUAACUGCCAGCUGUGACGUUACUCGCAGAAGAAGCACCGGCUAACUCCGUGCCAGCCGCCGCCGUAA
rnacentral:rRNA from 1 species